GAAACGCUUGGGCGGGCGGCCUACACAUGCAAGUCGAGCGCACCUUUUCGGAGGUGAGCGGCGCACGGGUGAGUAACGCGUGGGAACCUACCCUGGGGUAGGGGAUAACCGCUGGAAACGGCGGCUAAUACCCUAUACGUCCUUCGGGAGAAAGAUUUAUCGCCCUGGGAUGGGCCCGCGUCGGAUUAGCUAGUUGGUGGGGUAAAGGCUCACCAAGGCGACGAUCCGUAGCUGGUCUGAGAGGAUGAUCAGCCACACUGGGACUGAGACACGGCCCAGACUCCUACGGGAGGCAGCAGUGGGGAAUAUUGGACAAUGGGCGCAAGCCUGAUCCAGCCAUGCCGCGUGAGUGAAGAAGGCCUUAGGGUUGUAAAGCUCUUUCACCCGCGAAGAUGAUGACGGUAGCGGGAGAAGAAGCCCCGGCUAACUCCGUGCCAGCAGCCGCGGUAAUACGGAGGGGGCAAGCGUUGUUCGGAUUUACUGGGCGUAAAGGGCGCGUAGGCGGAUGUUCGCGUCAGAGGUGAAAGCCCCGGGCUCAACCUGGGAACUGCCUUUGAAACGGGACAUCUUGAGUUCGGAAGAGGGUAGCGGAAUUCCCAGUGUAGAGGUGAAAUUCGUAGAUAUUGGGAAGAACACCAGUAGCGAAGGCGGCUACCUGGUCCGACACUGACGCUGAGGCGCGAAAGCGUGGGGAGCAACAGGAUUAGAUACCCUGGUAGUCCACGCCGUAAACGAUGUGCGCUAGCCGUUGGGAUGCUUGGCAUUUCGGUGGCGAAGUUAACGCAUUAAGCGCACCGCCUGGGGGAGUACGGCCGCAAGGUUAAAACUCAAAUGAAUUGACGGAAGGGC
rnacentral:rRNA from 1 species